GACGAACCGUGCAAACGUUAUUCGGAAUCACUGGGCUUAAAGCGCGUGUAGGCGGGCCAGCACGUCGGUCGCUGAAAUCCCCCGGCUCAACCGGGGAACGGGCGCCGAUACGACUGGCCUGGAGGGGGGUAGGGGGAGCCGGAACUCACGGUGGAGCGGUGAAAUGCGUUGAGAUCGUGAGGAACGCCCGUGGCGAAAGCGGGCUCCUGGACCCCGCCUGACGCUGAGACGCGAAAGCCAGGGGAGCGAACGGG
rnacentral:rRNA from 1 species